UCCGAUCUAAGAGACAGUCCACUCCGAUGGAGAAAAUAACAACUUUAUCACAAGUUCGUGUCAAUACAGAGUUCGGGAGAACAAAGUAAAAUCAACAGGGGCAUUCUAAAACUCCUGAUUGAAUACGCCCACUAUUGAUAAGAUGUCUUUCGCCCACAUGACCGAUAGCGGAAGAUGGCAAUAAAAGGUCGGGAAAUUUUAGGAGAUUCAGAGGCAGUCAGUUCAAUCAGUUAAAAGGGUCAAUUAGUUCAAGGGUCGCCUAUGGACCAGACGUCUCUGGGAGUCUGCUCUCAGACUCUGGACAGAAGCGGGAGAAAUGUAGUAAAGAUGGUUCCAUGUCCAUCCUGUCGGGGAUAUCCGACGAGGAUCAGGGAACGAAGACGAAGAAUAAUUAUCAAGAAUAAUGAAGAAUUGAAGGAUCGAAUUUCUUUUAUACUCUCUCUCCCAGGUAUGAUCUCUCACGUCGAAUAGCUCUCUCGAAUCUCUCUCCAAGGAAAUAUGUUAAUAUUAUGUUUUAUUUUAUUUUUAUUUUAAAUAUGUAUUCUU
rnacentral:lncRNA from 1 species